CCUACGGGAUGCAGCAGUAGGGAAUCUUCCGCAAUGGACGAAAGUCUGACGGAGCAACGCCGCGUGAGUGAUGAAGGCUUUCGGGUCGUAAAACCCUGUUGUUAGGGAAGAACAAGUGCUAGUUGAAUAAGCUGGCACCUUGACGGUACCUAACCAGAAAGCCACGGCUAACUACGUGCCAGCAGCCGCGGUAAUACGUAGGUGACAAGCGUUAUCCGGAAUUAUUGGGCGUAAAGCGCGCGCAGGUGGUUUCUUAAGUCUGAUGUGAAAGCCCACGGCUCAACCGUGGAGGGUCAUUGGAAACUGGGAGACUUGAGUGCAGAAGAGGAAAGUGGAAUUCCAUGUGUAGCGGUGAAAUGCGUAGAGAUAUGGAGGAAUACCGGUGGCGAGGGCGGCCCCCUGGACAAAGACUGACGCUCAGGUGCGAAAGCGUGGGGAGCGAACAGGAUUAGAUACCCGCGUAGUC
rnacentral:rRNA from 1 species